rnacentral:misc_RNA from 1 species
GGAAGUAAAAGUCGUAAUAGGGUUUCCGUAGGUGAACCUGCGGAAGGAUCAUUAUUGUAUAACCGAGGUGCGAGGGCUGUCGCUGACCCGAAAGGUCGUGCACGCCCGAGUGCCCUCACACACAUCCAUCUCACCCCUAUGUGCACCACCGCGUGGGUCCCCCUUUGGCUUGUUCGGAGGGGGGCUUACGUUUUCACACAAACUUUGUAUGCAGUGUAGAAUGUAUUUUUUGUUUUUGCGAUCACGCAAUCAAUACAACUUUCAACAACGGAUCUCUUGGCUCUC